rnacentral:rRNA from 1 species
UACGGAGGAUGCAAGCGUUAUCCGGAAUGAUUGGGCGUAAAGCGUCCGCAGGUGGCUGUGUAAGUCUGCUGUCAAAGAGCAAAGCUCAACUUUGUAAAGGCAGUGGAAACUACACGGCUAGAGUGCGUUCGGGGCAGAGGGAAUUCCUGGUAUAGCGGUGAAAUGCGUAGAGAUCAGGAAGAACACCGGUGGCGAAGGCGCUCUGCUAGGCCGCAACUGACACUGAGGGACGAAAGCUAGGGGAGCGAAUGGG